CCUACGGGUGGCAGCAGUGAGGAAUAUUGGUCAAUGGACGCGAGCCUGAACCAGCCAAGUAGCGUGAAGGAUGACUGCCCUACGGGUUGUAAACUUCUUUUAUAAAGGAAUAAAGUGAGGCACGCGUGUCUUUUUGUAAGUACUUUAUGAAUAAGGAUCGGCUAACUCCGUGCCAGCAGCCGCGGUAAUACGGAGGAUUCGAGCGUUAUCCGGAUUUAUUGGGUUUAAAGGGAGCGUAGACGGGUUGUUAAGUUAGAUGUGAAAGUCUGCGGCUCAACUGUAAAAUUGCAAUUGAUACUGGUAGGCUUGAGUAUAGUUGCGGUAGGCGGAAUGCGUGGUGUAGCGGUGAAAUGCUUAGAUAUCACAAAGAACUCCGAUUGCGAAGGCAGCUUACUAAGCUGCCACUGACAUUGAUGCUCGAAAGUGUGGGUAUCAAACAGGAUUAGAUACCCCUGUAGUC
rnacentral:rRNA from 1 species